rnacentral:rRNA from 1 species
GAUGAACGCUGGCGGCGUGCCUAAUACAUGCAAGUCGAGCGAACAGACGAGGAGCUUGCUCCUCUGACGUUAGCGGCGGACGGGUGGGUAACACGUGGAUAACCUACCUAUAAGACUGGGAUAACUUAGGGAAACCGGAGCUAAUACCGGAUAAUAUAUUGAACCGCAUGGUUCAAUAGUGAAAGACGGUUUUGCUGUCACUUAUAGAUGGAUCUGCGCCGCAUUAGCUAGUUGGUAAGGUAACGGCUUACCAAGGCGACGAUGCGUAGCCGACCUGAGAGGGUGAUCGGCCACACUGGAACUGAGACACGGUCCAGACUCCUACGGGAGGCAGCAGUAGGGAAUCUUCCGCAAUGGGCGAAAGCCUGACGGAGCAACGCCGCGUGAGUGAUGAAGGUCUUCGGAGCGUAAAACUCUGUUAUUAGGGAAGAACAAAUGUGUAAGUAACUAUGCACGUCUUGACGGUACCUAAUCAGAAAGCAACGGCUAACUACGUG